rnacentral:lncRNA from 1 species
AAGAGUCUUUGGUAGAGGAAACUGCUGAGAUCUUGCAGCUGUUUGCCAUCCUAGAAGAGUGUAGUUAUGCUGAUAGAUUCAGGGGACCUUGGGACUUUUGGCCUUAAAGAUUUGGGUCCCUAGAGUUCGCAGCUGAGAGGAGUGCAUGGCAGAGUCUCCUUUGGUGCGCUGUUGUGCUAGCCAUGGGACCCGUGUGCAGAGGAUUUACAAUGAAGCAGUGGUCGGGUGGGUCCCACCUUCCCACACCCCUGGGUUGCUGGGAUUGGGGGAGUGGUGAGCAUUGGAAGGAGGUACUCAGAGGGGAGAGGGCAAUUUAUAGUUUAUAUAAUUAUAUAAUUUAUAUAUUUAAUGAUCACCAUUCUAACUGGUGUGAGAUGGUAUCUCAUUGUGGUUUUGAUUUGCAUUUCUCUGAUGGCCAGUGAUGAUGAGCAUUUUUUCAUGUGUUUUUUGGCUGCAUAAAUGUCUUCUUUUGAGAAGUGUCUGUUCAUAUCCUUCACCCACUUUUUGAUGGGGUUGUUUUUUUCUUGUAAAUUUGUUUGAGUUCAUCGUAGAUUCUGGAUAUUAGCCCUUUGUCAGAUGAGUAGGUUGCAAAAAUUUUCUCCCAUUCUGUAGGUUGCCUGUUCACUCUGAUGGUAGUUUCUUUUGCUGUGCAGAAGCUCUUUAGUUUAAUUAGAUCCCAUUUGUCAAUUUUGGCUUUUGUUGCCAUUGCUUUUGGUGUUUUGGACAUGAAGUCCUUGCCCAUGCAUUAAAAAGUCAGGAAACAACAGGUGCUGGAGAGGAUGUGGAGAAAUAGGAACACUUUUACACUGUUGGUGGGACUGUAAACUAGUUCAACCAUUGUGGAAGUCAGUGUGGAGAUUCCUCAGGGAUCUAGAACUAGAAAUACCAUUUGACCCAGCCAUCCCAUUACUGGGUAUGUACUCAAAGGAUUAUAAAUCAUGCUGCUAUAAAGACACAUGCACACGUAUGUUUAUUGCGGCACUACUCACAAUAGCAAAGACUUGGAACCAACCCAAAUGUCCAACAAUGAUAGACUGGAUUAAGAAAAUGUGGCACAUAUACACCAUGGAAUACCAUGCAGCCAUAAAAAAUGAUGAGUUCAUGUCCUUUGUAGGGACAUGGAUGAAGCUGGAAACCAUCAUUCUCAGCAAACUAUCCCAAGGACAAAAAACCAAACACGGCAUGUUCUCACUCAUAGGUGGGAAUUGAACAAUGAGGACACAUGGACACAGGAAGGGGAACAUCACGCACCGGGGCCUGUCGUGGGGUGGGGGGAGUGGGGAGGGAUAGCAUUAGGAGAUAUAGCUAAUGCUAAAUGACGAGUUAAUGGGUGCAGCACACCAACAUGGCACGUGUAUACAUAUGUAACAAACCUGCACGUUGUGCACAUGUACCCUAAAACUUAAAGUAUAAAAAAAAAAAGUGGUAAUGGGAAGGAGGGACUUUUACUGUAAAAAAAAUUAUAUAUUUAAAUUUAUAAAUUUAAAAAUUCUGCAAGUACAUAGACUCUACCUCCUCCCCCCUCAAAGCUCUUGUCUGAAACACCACUGUUCCAGAACACCUGGGGCUUCUUUACCUGAGUAUUAUGCUAUUCUCAUUAAGCACAAGAACAUGCAACAAUUACGUAGAAGUGUGCGUGUGGGGAAAAUUGAACACAUUUCACAAGGGAAUGGUGAGGGAGUGGGUAUACAAAGCCGGCUUUGAACCUGCAAACCCGGGCCAGCCAACAUGUCACAGGUGAGAGCGUGUUAGUGAGAGGGUGAUGACAGUUCUGGGACCGUUAAUUCAUGGAUCCUCAGAUACACUCGGGCAAUUGUUCUGGGUUUCCGGGAGGUGCGAGGGCGUUCCUCCUCCAGGGCGCGUGCAGGCCACGCUGAGCAGCCCUGCUGAACGUCUCCCGGUGUGCCGUCUCUCUGUUUCUCUGUUCCCCUUUCCGUCUUCUCUCUUAUGUUCCUACUUGUCCUUUCUUCUUGACUUCCU